GACGAACGCUGGCGGCGUGCUUAAUACAUGCAAGUCGAACGAGUGGCGAACGGGUGAGUAACACGUGGGUAACCUGCCCUCUUUCUGGGAUAAGCCUUGGAAACCGGGUCUAAUACCGAAUAAAGGGGGAUGGGCUCGCGGCCUAUCAGCUUGCUGGUGGGGUGAUGGCCUACAAAGGCGGUGACGGGUAGCCGGCCUGAGGGGGUGACCGGCCACGUUGGGAGGGAGAGACGGCCCAGACUGGUACGUGAGGUAGCAGUGGGGGAUAGGGCGCAAGGGGCGAAGGGCUGAUGCAGCGACGCGGCGUGGGGGUUGGAAGCGUUCGGGUUGUGAACCUGUUUAGCUAUCGAACGGGUAGGUAGAGAGGAAGCGCCGGCUAACUACGUGCCAGCAGCCGCGGUAAUAC
rnacentral:rRNA from 1 species